GGACUCUGUAGCUCAGUUGGUUGGAGCGCUGCACCGGAAUUGCAGGAGAGCAGGUUCAACUCCUGCCAGAGGGCCA